GCAGAAAGUAGUUUCCGGUAGUUCUGGAGUUGAGAGCAAUGAAUUAGCCACAAACAAAAAUCCAUGGCGAUUGCAUUUCCAUGUCCAAGCUUCCCAUCACUGAAGAAACGCUCUCUCUCAUCUUCCUCUACCCACUGAUCGAACUCUCGCAUGUUUGUGGUUGAACAUGGAGGUUUCGCGAGAUGAUCUGUUGUGCAUUAGAUACCGGAGUAAGAAGAGGGCUAGAAAUAGCAAGAAAAAUCAUAACAGUGGCGGAAUCGUCGUCAACAACAAUCAAAACCAAAACAACUGCGUUAACAAGAGGACGAGUUUAUACGACUUCUUCUGGUCUUUUCUCUUUUCCCUCUCUUGUUUCGUCUGCUUGUUCUAUUCCAAGCUCGUCCUUGGUUAUGGUGAUUCUGGAGAUUCUUCUUCUGUGAAUAGAAGCGCUAUUUGCCCUAGUCCUGGAAAUCAGAAGCUAGAUGAUCACGCCUAUUCAUCCAUAGCAAAUGGAAGCAGUUGUAUGAACUCUGGAUCGUCUGAACUCAAUGUGUCAAUGAACUGUAAUGAAUCCUAUGUUCAUCACAACUAUGCAAAUUCAAAUUACUCACUUUCAGAGUCAAAGGUAUUUGAAGUAGCAGUCUUGAGUGCACUUGGAUAUCCAUCUUUAAUGUGCAAAGUACAACAGUCAGAGAAGAAACCAAACUCAACAGAACAUCAGGAAGGUCCUAGUGGCAGAAGUGCUCACCCCACAUAUCUUAAUUUGGACGAAUUUCGCAACAUUACGAUGAAAGAUAAAGAAGGCGACAUGCCUGAUCAAUUAGUUAACAUUACUCAUCGGCUUGAACCGGAUGGAUCAGAUUACAACUAUGCAUCUUCAUCGAAAGGUGCAAAGGUUGUUGCUCAUAACAAGGAAGCAAAAGGAGCAUGUAAUAUAUUGGGGAAAGACCAUGAUAAGUAUCUGAGAAACCCUUGUUCUGUGGGAGAAAAGUAUGUUGUGAUUGAGCUCUCAGAAGAGACCUUAGUCGAUGCUGUGAUUGAACAUUAUUCUUCUAAUUUCAAGGCAUUCAAUUUGUCUGGCAGUUUGAGCUAUCCAACGGAGACAUGGCCUAAAUUGGGAAACGUUGUUGCUGCCAAUGUAAAACAUGCUCAAGUCUUCAAGCUUCCUGAACCAAAAUGGGUUAGGUACUUAAAGUUGGAUGUUCUUAGUCAUUAUGGAUCAGAGUUUUACUGCACAAUGAGUAUAGUAGAGGUUUAUGGUGUGGAUGUCAUGGAGAGGAUGCUUGAAGAUCUCUUUGUCACCUCUUCAGACGAAGAGCCUAAUUCAACCGUGUUGACUUCUUCAAAUCAGAUGUUGGUUCAGUUAAUGAAAUAGACAACGAUGACAUUAACUUAUCGACUACCGGUGCAUGGAGAGAAAGUAUGGAUGAUCAGGCAAGUCUUGCUCUAGAGGUUGCAAAAGUUCUCACGAAUGUUAAAUAAGUUUCCUAAUCCUGUAAUUGAAGCUAGACAACAGCUGAACGGUAGACUACCUGGUGACACUGUCCUGAAGAUCUUGAUGCAGAAGAUGAGGUCACUUGAGACUAAAUUAUCUGUGCUAGAGGAUUAUAUCAAAGAAUUGAACCGACGACAAGGGAAACUUCUACCGGAUCUCGAAAAAAAGAUGGCUAGAAUGUCAUUGCUUCUGGAGAAUACUAAAUUAGUUGUCAAGGAUCUCAUGGUUUGGAAGGAGACAAUUCUUAGAUAUUGAAAAAAUUGCAAGCAACCAAGCCAAGCUAGCAAGUAAAGAACCGGCAGUGCUAGCCGUGAGUUUUCUUUUCAUGUGCACUGCAACUCUGAGGCUUCUAUCAGCUAAAAUUCUGAAGUUUUUUUGGUGACUGCCAAUCCCGCAAGGCGGGCUCGGCGAGUAGUGGUUGGGUAUGGAUGCUUGUUAGCAGCAUGAUGACGGUAAUCCUUGCUUUCAUAUAUAGUUAGCAACUGUUGGUCCCUUUUUGUAGUUCUAGUUCCUUCACCCUCCAUAGGUAAAUACAGAGGAGGAGCCGCAUUUACCAGCACUGACCCCAAAACCAAAAAGAGGGUCCCCGGAGAUGAACGAAAAUGGGGUAAGACUAGACUGGAGCCUCUUCCUCUUUAACCAUUAUAUACCUUUUACCUUUUCCUCUUUAAGCAUUUAGUUUAGUAAGUACAAAACUAAAUUGCAAACUAAAUCCGAACCGAGGACCAAAUAUCAAUUAUGUAAUUCUACCUCUAUAAUUUCACUAAAAGCCCUCAAGUUUUAAGGUCUCUAAUUGACAGAUGGGCCAACUUUAGCAGGCAUCCACCAAAAUCAAACAGACAAACACCUUAACU